rnacentral:rRNA from 1 species
GAUGAACGCUGGCGGCGUGCCUAAUACAUGCAAGUCGAGCGAACAGACGAGGAGCUUGCUCCUCUGACGUUAGCGGCGGACGGGGGAGUAACACGUGGAUAACCUACCUAUAAGACUGGGAUAACUUCGGGAAACCGGAGCUAAUACCGGAUAAUAUAUUGAACCGCAUGGUUCAAUAGUGAAAGACGGUUUUGCUGUCACUUAUAGAUGGAUCCGCGCCGCAUUAGCUAGUUGGUAAGGUAACGGCUUACCAAGGCAACGAUGCGUAGCCGACCUGAGAGGGUGAUCGGCCACCCUGGAACUGAGACACGGUCCAGACUCCUACGGGAGGCAGCAGUAGGGAAUCUUCCGCAAUGGGCGAAAGCCUGACGGAGCAACGCCGCGUGAGUGAUGAAGGUCUUCGGAUCGUAAAACUCUGUUAUUAGGGAAGAACAAAUGUGUAAGUAACUAUGCACGUCUUGACGGUACCUAAUCAGAAAGCCACGGCUAACUACGUG